CAUACUUGUUGGAAACCCUAGCCAUGUCCUUCUCCUCUUCUUGCUUUUAAUGGUUAAAGAUAGAUUAAUAGAAGUAGGAAGUAGAGAAGAUGAGAAGAGAAUAUGGCAAGGUACUCGACUUUUAGGUUGUGCUUAAGACCUUGUUGAUCAGCCAGUGCUAGGAUGGAUCCAUUA